AACGAACGCUGGCGGCAGGCUUAACACAUGCAAGUCGAACGCAUCCUUCGGGGUGAGUGGCAGACGGGUGAGUAACACGUGGGAACGUACCUUUCGGUUCGGGAUAACCCAGGGAAACUUGGGCUAAUACCGGAUACGUCCUUAGGGAGAAAGAUUCAUUGCCGAAAGAUCGGCCCGCGUCUGAUUAGCUAGUUGGUGAGGUAACGGCUCACCAAGGCGACGAUCAGUAGCUGGUCUGAGAGGANGAUCAGCCACACUGGGACUGAGACACGGCCCAGACUCCUACGGGAGGCAGCAGUGGGGAAUAUUGGACAAUGGGCGCAAGCCUGAUCCAGCCAUGCCGCGUGAGUGAUGAAGGCCCUAGGGUUGUAAAGCUCUUUUGUGCGGGAAGAUAAUGACGGUACGCAAGAAUAAGCCCCGGCUAACUUCGUGCCAG
rnacentral:rRNA from 1 species